CUCGUUCCCCGAGCCUGCGAUCCUUGGGAAGGAAACGAAGGCUCUGGGAUAAUCCAUCUCAAAAAUGAAUAUGAUUGGUUGUUGGUAUACAAUGGAAUGUUGCAAUUUUGCAAAAAUUAAUUUUUAACCGUAUAUUUUUAUAUACAACAUGGCGGCCGUUUAGGAGUGUACGAAUAUUGUUUUGGUUUUUCAGAGCUGUGCUAUAUACUAAUACUACAAAGGAAAUGCAAAGAAACGUAUACUUAAUGCGUAUAAUAUCACAACAGUUAAAUGGAGCGUGAAAACUUUACUCAUAUUUGUGUUGUACAGGUUUUCUGUAGUUUUAAUCUAUACAUAGUAUAGAGUACUGAAUUACUGUCAGUACACUCUACACUGUACUAUUUGACUAUAAUAUCAAAUAUGUGCUAUAUUUUGCAAAUAAUAUUUGUGUCAGAAAUGGUUAAUAACUUUUAUUAAUUUGUCUUUGUGUUAUUUAAUUGCGAAGAACUAGUUAAUGACUAGUUUCAAUAAAUCCAAUCUUGGGAUUUACUGUUAUAUAUUUUAUUAUUUAAUGUAUAUACUGUGCUGUAAACUUUUCAAGUGCAGGAGUAUGUAAUACUCAUUUUAACUUGUAGCAUGUAAGCCUUCCCUAUAUGGGUGCAUAUGAAUCUUUUGCUGUUAUAAUUUAUUUAUAGAAGAGUUCAAAAAACCUUUAUUCUCUAAAUAAAUCACAAUUUCACAGGCAGUGAUAUUAACUUGUAUUCCAGUCUGCAUAGACCUAAUGCACCUAUCAAUGUUAACACCCGAGGGGGGGUCGGGCAUAUGUGGGGUAUUUGAUCAUCAAUUGCAUCCCCACCCUGGUGAUUUUGAAUAGCAUUUUGGCCCCGAGUUGGGGCAAUUUGAACCGAAUGACUUUUAUUAACAUAGUAUUUAUUGCAAUUUAUUGCAAAAUGGUGGGGCAUUUGACCAAUAUUUAUUGUCCGACGGUGGGGCAUUUCAUUGAAAAUUUGCUCUAAAAAUCAAAUGCCCCACCUGUGCCCAACCCCCCUCCUCUGGGGCUUAACAUUGACAGGUGCAUACUGCAUAAUACAUAUAAUGAAUUCUUGGGUUUCACUAUGGCAUUUUGCACGUUCUGUCAUUGGUUCUGACGGGGGGACAACCUAAAGAAUAAAUGUAUUGAUGCUUAUGUUGUACUGGAGUGAGCAAAUGAUAUGAAAUUACAUGUAUUUGCUACCAAACACAAGGCCAACACAUACAGUGAAAAAUUAAUUCACUCUGAUGACUGUGUCUCGAUUUAGAGUUGACCACCCAUCAAAUUUAUGAAGUCAUAUGAAACACAAUAAUCUAUUUAAUGAUUUUAAUUUAUUGAGUAGCACAAUAUGCCAAUCCCUUUGUUAAUCUUGUCCACACAGUAAUUCAAAGAAGCCCUGCCCUUGUAGUUAAUUGGAUUCUGUCCAAGAAAACAUCAUAAACCUUUUGAUACAGAUGUUACAAAGUAUGAAUUUCAGAUUGGGAGACCAUAUAAAUAUUUUAAAUAAAUUCAUAUACUACUUUUUUUAAGAAAUGUUCUAUUCAUAUUAAAUGACAGUGAUCAGCCACCAAAACCAGAAUUCGUUUUCAUCAGCUUCCCCCUGGUUAUGACCCCCUGCAGGGAACCACCUAGGGUACAGAUAUAAUUUUGUGAUGAAUGAUAAAAAAUUGCCCAAUAUAAAUGCUGAGCCAUAGAAAUAUUUUUAUUACCAUGGUCAUGACAACUACCCUGUCAAUUUGAUUGCAAUAUCAAAACUUGUUAUUUACACUAUAAAACAACACAUACCUACUCUGAGAAGGGGAGGGGCAACAAAAACUCGUAUAUUUCGGUUUUUUCCCUUCCUUUCCAAUUCAAAUUAUGCUGCCACGAAAACAAUUUCCCGAUUUCCAAUACAAUAAAUUGCCAAAUGCCUGACAAUUUGGGCUAGCGACACCCCUGAAUGCUAUAAUGAUAGCAACCGCUAUAUCUUCAACCUUGAAUGUCGUAUGUAGUACAGUACCGGUAGUUAGUUAAUUAAUGGCAGUAAUGAACAUGAAGUCAAGUACAUUUCCGGCCAUUGAUGAGAAAUUUUGUCCAGAAGUACAGUGAAAUAACAAAAUAGGGUGCACUAAAGAGCAUUGGGGCUUAAAGAUCUAAAGUGAUAAUUAACCAAACAGGUAGACAUGCAGAUGGAUAGCCUGCACACAGACUACAGUAUAUAAUGACAUAUAUAUUAUUAUAAUAUAUAGUCUGCGUGCAGGCUAGCAGAUGGACUGGUUAACCCAUUCAAAUACCAAGUCCAAUACUUUCCCCUUGACGUGUUAAUCAAACAGCUUAAAAUAACAAAGUAGGGCAAACUGAGGCACAUUGCAGCUUAACUUGCUCCAAGUAUAUAAUCAUUGCAAACUAUAAAUCUUUAAUACUAAUUCCUAUCCAGACACGAAAUUUGGUUAUAAUUCAAUAAUUUGAGAAGUGCUGUUGCAUAUAAGGGCAGUUAAAAAAUAUAACAAGGAUUUGGUUUAUAAACUGUUAAUUUCUAGAGAUGAUAUUAAACACAAUACAAACAUGGAAUUCACUAUAUUCAUAUUUUUAAUUAUAUGUUUUAUAAGUCUAAAUUCCUUUUAAUAUUCCUCUGAUAUACAAAUCUUCUGAAAACUUUAAUAUUAUCAAGGUUUAUAACCGACUUAAUAUUAGAAUUGAGACUCUCUUCAGGUAUUUUAAUACUACAGUAGCAAUUAUUAAACACACACUAUUGUAAUUGUUUUUGUUCUUGAAAAUUGCCCUUUCCACGCGCUCUUUCAACCAUUAGAAACAUAGCAGCGUUAAACGGCUAAAUUAUGCUGGAGGAACCACAAAUGUCUCUACAUUUAAAGCUUUUUCAAACUGACACAGAGGUGAAUGGACAAGAUUACAAUUAAUUGUGACAUUUUUCUUCGACAACAGCACUCUUCGCGGCUCCUGCCGGCUCUAUACUGACCCUGUUUCACACGCAAUAUUUUCCUUAUUCAGUCACUAACACACCUUUUGUAUCCCACUAUGAAGAACAUCAACAUUUCCACCAAAACCCCGAAAAAAUAAUCAUUUUAUAGACGAAACAAUAAAAUAUUUCAAACAAUUUGUUUUGCUUUUGCCAACGCAUGCGCAGU